rnacentral:sRNA from 1 species
GAGCGCAGAGCGCAUCGAGCCGGCGAUC